rnacentral:rRNA from 1 species
GGGCCCGCACAAGCAGCGGAGCGUGUGGUUUAAUUCGAUGCUACACGAAGAACCUUACCCACCUUUGACAUGGCAGGAAUCCUGAAGAGAUUUGGGAGUGCUCGAAAGAGAACCUGCACACAGGUGCUGCAUGGCUGUCGUCAGCUCGUGUCGUGAGAUGUUGGGUUAAGUCCCGCAACGAGCGCAACCCUUGCCAUUAGUUGCUACGAAAGGGCACUCUAAUGGGACUGCCGGUGACAAACCGGAGGAAGGUGGGGAUGACGUCAAGUCCUCAUGGCCCUUAUAGGUGGGGCUACACACGUCAUACAAUGGAUGGUACAAAGGGUCGCCAACCCGCGAGGGGGAGCCAAUCCCAUAAAGCCAUUCGUAGUCCGGAUCGCAGUCUGCAACUCGACUGCGUGAAGUCGGAAUCGCUAGUAAUCGUGGAUCAGAAUGUCACGGUGAAUACGUUCCCGGGUCUU